rnacentral:lncRNA from 1 species
GAAUGUUGGGUUCUCUGGCUUUUCUUCCCUAGUGCCAGAAUUAAAGAUGCAUGUUAUCUGUAAAAUUGAUGGGACUGUCUUGCUUUUACUGCAUGAUCCCAAAUAAAAUAGGGAUCCCAGUCUGAGGAAACAUUCAUUUUUGCUGCUGUAAACCAGCCCAACAUUAAGAUAAUAGUAAGGCAUAUGUUUCUCACAGUUUUUAUGGGUCAGGUAUCAGAGUAGUGAGCUGAGAGAAGGGCUCUGUGACGGGGUCUUUCAGUCAGGUUACUGUGGCUGCUGAAUCUGCUUCCAAGGUGCUUCACUGUGUCUAGCUAGUUGGCUGGCAGGCUCCAGUUCUUUGAUUGCUGAAUGUCCUGGUGUGGUUGGUGUUCCCCAAGAACUAGACGUUGAAGCCCCAGUGAAGCAGCAGCCAUACUCUGGUAGAGGCUGUCUAGUGCCGUCUAGCGGCCGUGCAGAGCACAAGCCUAGCCUGACAGUAGGCGGGAAACAAACCUCGGUGGGGUAGUUACUAGCUGGCUCAGUUCGAGGUUGCUCCAGUUCCUAGGUGGAUCAGGGUGGGAUCAGAUACCUACCUGAAGCCAGUCCACGGUGAGUGAGUAGUCAUUAAGUCAGGGCUUCUUUUCCUUUAAGGGCUCAACCUUAACUGUAAAAGGAGACUUGAAGCUAAUUACUUCCCCUAAGGUCUGAUUCAGUCUUUGAAAAUUAAACUGUUCUGACCUUUAUCAUGAAUAAUCUGUUUGUGAUGAGAAAGUUGGUUGGCAAUUGUUUUUUAGUCGUUAUUAAACAAGGUACAGUGAAGAUCACUUAUCUAGUCUCCAGGUCUGCAGGCUUUGAGUGAGUGAGUGUAUAUGUGUGUCUGUAGAAUAUAUAUACAUGUAUAAUUUAAAAUAUACUUAAAGGACUUAUGUAUACUUAUGUGCUUGGGCAUCUGGUGCCUCUGUAGUCCAGAAGAGGGCAUUGGAUUCCUUGGAAUUUGCAUUACUGAAUCAUCUCUGGUCUGUGGAUUUUAAAGAAGGAUUUAUUUUUAAUUAUGUAUAUGUGUGUAUAUGUCAGUUACUUUCCUGUUGCUGUGAUAAGAUAUCAUGACCAGAACUAAAGGAAGAAAAUUUAUUUUGGCUUAGGGUUCCAGCGGUAGAGUUUACGGCAGCAGGGGAGGCAUGUUGGGGAAUCAGGCAGCUGAAUGCCAGGAUAGGAAGCUGAUAGAUCACAUCUCAGUCACACACAGAAAGCAGAGAAAGCAAACUGGAGGUGAGGGGAAAACUCAAAACUUGCCCCAACACAUGUUUCGUCUGGUAAGUCUCUAACCCCGAAGGAUUCAGAACUUUCUCAAACAGCACCACUAGUGUGACCAGUGUUGAACUACAUGAGCCUGUGGGGACACCACCACAGUAUAUGUUUGGAUGUGAACAUGUGUAAGUGCAGGUGCCAUCAGAGUCCAGAGGCGUGAGGGAUGAAGAUGGUAUUUUACACCGUGAGAUGAUUGGUACUGGGGAUUGAACAUAGGCCUUGUGUGUACUAGGCUAGUGUAUGUUACUGAGAUAAAUUCCUAGUUUUUACUUUUUAUUUUGAGAUAGGGUCUUGCUAAAUUUCUCCCACAGGUAGCUAAUAUUACAUGAUUUAGGUUACCAGCCCUGCUUUACGUGGUGUGAAAUUUUCAUAGAAAUGUUUUAUUUGUUCAUUCACUCAUUGACAAAUUUUCAUUACGUGUCUGUGACAGUCUCCGCCUCCCACCUGCCUGGGAUUAAAGAAGUGGUCCAUCAGGUCCAUUAUAAACUUAUCUAUAGAAUUCUUUCUAGGACUGGCUUUUGCUUACUGAUAUAAAGAAAAGCUAGAGACUCUGCUGCUAGGAAUGUAGGUGAAUCUUAAGCUCUCUUCCCAGUUCUCUCUGACCUUUCUAAGUAGUACAUGGGACACCAUAGAUUAUUUUGUACUUGUUUGGUUUUGGUUUUUAGAGAUCAGGUUUCUCUGUGUAACAACCCUGACUGUUCUGGAGUUUGCUGUGUAGACCAGGCUGGACUUGAACUCAGAAAGAUCCGCUUGCCUCUGCCUCCCAAGUGCUGGGAUUAAAGAUGUGUGCUGGUAUCACUGGCUUAUUUUGUAUUAUUAUUACAUGACAGGCUCUUUGCCACUGGGAACCUUGUUUUUCUUUUCUUUUGUGUUUUUUUUGUUGUUGUUGUUGUUUUGUUUGUUUUGUUUGCAUGUGCCACCAUGCUCAAUGCCUUUUUAAAAAAAAUUGUGAGAUGGUUUUGCCUGGGACUUCAUGUAUGGGCCUGUCCUUGCCUGGGAGUGUUGGGGUGGCUGUUAAGGUCACACUUUGUGUGGUACCUGUUCCCUCUUAUCCCCCCCCCCCCCAUACGGUUCAGGUGGCCUGAGCAGGCUUUGAAACUCUGUUGCCAAAGAUGACCUUGAACUUUGAAACUUCGGGAUCCUGCUUCCACCUCCCAAGUGCUUGGAUUACAGGUGUACAUUACCACCACCCCCCAGUUUAUAGGGUGCUGGAGAUCUAACCGAUGGUGUCCUCCCCUGCUAGACAAACACCCCACCUACCAAUGGAAAUAAGUCGUAAAUGUAGGUUUCUUUGUUUUGUAUUUUAUUUUGUAACCCUUAACCUCUGUAAGCUUGAAUGAGCUUUUGUGAAUUGCUGGUACUUCAAAGGCUUAACAGCUUACAGUGAAUUUGUACUUGAAGGGUUAAGGCUGGGGAACCUAAGAUGAUUUUUCUCACUAGAGCUGAAUGGAAAAGUGAUUGUGGUAGAAAGUAUCUAGGUAUAGGUUAUAGGGUGUGUGUGUGUGUGUGUGUGCGCGCGCGCGCGCGCACAAUUUGUGUAUGCAUGUGUUUAGCCUUGCUCUUAAAGAUGCACUGGGGAGAGACAGUGAGAAUGUAGUGCAUAGUUUCUAGUCUACAGAUGUGCUGUGAUACACUAGAUAAAGCUGGUAUGGAAACAGACUCAUGAAGAGGUGUGCAAAUGGAAUUUUAGUUGGGUGACAUCUACAUUGAGUUGUUUCUUAAAUUGGUGGUAAGUUGCCAUCGUAAGUUACUUGGUCCUCUGGAAUGUCUGUUUCUGUGAUUUCUCUAGAUCUGUGUGGUCCACUCCAGUAGCCAAGUCACACAGGUACAAAUGGCAGGGCAGAUACCACAGCAGAAUCCCCCUUGAGUGGAGCUGCUGUGAAGUCAUGUUUGGCUCACCUAUGUUUUGGUGUUCUCCAUGUUGAGUUAGGAAAAGGACAAAAAGGCCAUUCUGGGAGUGGUAGUGGUUGAUGUUUAUGAGCAGUAGAGCCAGUAUUUUAUUUUGUGGUUAAGGCUUUGUGGGCUGGGGAGAUGACUCAGUGUUUGCUGUGUGAGCAUGAGGACUUGUAGCUCUGCAACACCCACCUGAAAGUUGUAUGCUGCACUGCUAGUGUUUGACUGGCCAGCUGCUGGAGCCUAAAUAAAGUGACUGUUACAGGAAACUAGGUGGAGUGCUGGUCAGAUGGCUCAUCAUGUAAAAGAGCUUGCUUAGCGAGCCUGGUAAACUGAGUUCAAUUCCUGGAGCUGUGUGCGGUGGUUUGUAUAUGCUUGACCCAGGGAGUGGCACUAUUAGGAGGUGUGGCCUUGCUGGAGUAGGUGUGUCACUGGGCAUGGGCUUUAAGACCCUCACCCGAGCUGCCUGGAAGCCAGUAUUCUGCCAGCAGCCUUCACAUGAAGAUAAAGAACUCUCAGCUCCUCCCGCACCAUGCCUGCCUGGAUGCUGCCAGGCUCCUGCUUUGAUGAUAAUGGACUGAGCCUCUGAACCUGCAAGCCAGCCCCAAGUAAAUGUUGACCGCCUAAGAGUUGCCUUGGUCAUGGUGUCUGUUCGCCUCAAUGAAGCCCUAACUAAGACACCGUGGAAAGGUGGAAGGAAAUAACUGACCCUACAAAGUUGUCCUCUAACUUCCGAAUGUUUGCUGUCAUGCGCACAGGAAAACAAGAAGGAAAAGGCUUUGCAUUUGCAUCUGGUCUGGAAUUGUGCUAUAUUUUAUGCAUUGUUUAAUCUCUUAACCUUCAUUUUUUAUUUCCAACAGGGAUAAAUUUAUCAAGAUUGUGUGAAGUAAGUCAGUACAAUAUAGGGGGUGAUUAUCUAGCACAGUACUUCAAUAAAUGAUAGUGUUCAUUAAUAGACUUCUGAAAUUAAUGGCUUUCUAUAUAAACAACUUAAUAUAUCUACAAUAAAGUUGAUUUUUCUUUCCA